UGGGGAAUAUUGCACAAUGGGCGCAAGCCUGAUGCAGCCAUGCCGCGUGUGUGAAGAAGGCCUUCGGGUUGUAAAGCACUUUCAGCGAGGAGGAAGGUGGGUGAACUUAAUACGUUCAUCAAUUGACGUUACUCGCAGAAGAAGCACCGGCUAACUCCGUGCCAGCAGCCGCGGUAAUACGGAGGGUGCAAGCGUUAAUCGGAAUUACUGGGCGUAAAGCGCACGCAGGCGGUUUGUUAAGUCAGAUGUGAAAUCCCCGGGCUCAACCUGGGAACUGCAUUUGAAACUGGCAAGCUAGAGUCUCGUAGAGGGGGGUAGAAUUCCAGGUGUAGCGGUGAAAUGCGUAGAGAUCUGGAGGAAUACCGGUGGCGAAGGCGGCCCCCUGGACGAAGACUGACGCUCAGGUGCGAAAGCGUGGGGAGCAAACAGAUUAGAUACCCUGGUAGUCCACGCUGUAAACGAUGUCGAUUUGGAGGUUGUG
rnacentral:rRNA from 1 species